rnacentral:rRNA from 1 species
GGUGCCCGUACCGCAAACCGACACAGGUAGGUAGGAAGAAGAUUCUAAGGCCAACGGGAGAAGGGUUGUUAAGGAACUCGGCAAAUUGACCCCGUAACUUCGGGAGAAGGGGUGCUGCAGCAAUGCAGCCGCAGAGAAUCGGCCCAAGCAACUGUUUACCAAAAACACAGGUUUGUGCUAAAUCGAAAGAUGACGUAUACGAGCUGACGCCUGCCCGGUGCUGGAAGGUUAAGAGGAGAUGUGCAAGCAUUGAAUCGAAGCCCCAGUGAACGGCGGCCGUAACUAUAACGGUCCUAAGGUAGCGAAAUUCCUUGUCAGGUAAGUUCUGACCCGCAUGAAAGGCGUAAUGAUUUGGGCACUGUCUCAACAGCCCGCCCGGCGAAAUUGUAGUACCGGUGAAGAUGCCGGUUACCCGCGACAAGACGGAAAGACCCCAUGGAGCUUUACUGUAGCCUAAUAUUGGGUUUCGAUGUUGCAUGCACAGGAUAGAUGGGACACAGGGAAGCAGGUGCUUUGGCGCUUGUGGAGUGGCCGUUGGGAUACCAUCCUUGCGAUAUUGGAAUUCUAACCUGCGCCUUUGAAUCAAGGCGGGGGACAUUGUUAGGUGGGCAGUUUGACUGGGGCGGUCGCCUCCUAAAGAGUAACGGAGGCGUUCAAAGGUUCGCUCAGCUUGAACGGAAAUCAAGCAAAAGAGUGCAAACGCAGAAGCGAGCCUAACUGCGAGACUGACGGGUCGAGCAGUAACGAAAGUUGGAGUUAGUGAUCCGGUGGUAUGUGAGUGGAAAUGCCAUCGCUCAACGGAUAAAAGUUACCCUGGGGAUAACAGGCUGAUCUCCCCCAAGAGUCCACAUCGACGGGGAGGUUUGGCACCUCGAUGUCGGCUCAUCGCAUCCUGGGGCUGUAUUCGGUCCCAAGGGUUUGGCUGUUCGCCAAUUAAAGCGGUACGCGAGCUGGGUUCAGAACGUCGUGAGACAGUUCGGUCCCUAUCUGUCGUGGGCGCAGGAUAUUUGAUGGGAGCUGUUCCUAGUACGAGAGGACCGGAGCGGACGUACCUCUGGCGCACCAGUUGUUCUGCCAAGAGCAUAGCUGGGCAACUAUGUACGGAUCGGAUAAACGCUGAAAGCAUCUAAGCGUGAAGCCGACCCAAAGAUAAGAUAUCCCAUUGUUUCAAACAAGUAAGACCCCUUGAAGACUACAAGGUUGAUAGGCACGAUGUGUAAGUGGAGCGAUCCAUUCAGCAAGCGUGUACUAAUAGGUCGAGGGCUUGACCAC